rnacentral:rRNA from 1 species
AUACGUAGGGUGCGAGCGUUGUCCGGAAUUACUGGGCGUAAAGAGCUCGUGGGUGGUUUGUCGCGUCGUCUGUGAAAUUCCGGGGCUUAACUCCGGGCGUGCAGGCGAUACGGGCAUAACUUGAGUACUGUAGGGGAGACUGGAAUUCCUGGUGUAGCGGUGAAAUGCGCAGAUAUCAGGAGGAACACCGGUGGCGAAGGCGGGUCUCUGGGCAGUAACGGACGCUGAGGAGCGAAAGCAUGGGUAGCGAACAGGAUUAGCUACCCUGGUAGUCCAUGCCGUAAACGGUGGGCGCUAGGUGUAGGGGUCUUCCACGACUUCUGUGCCGUAGCUAACGCAUUAAGCGCCCCGCCUGGGGAGUACGGCCGCAAGGCUAAAACUCAAAGGAAUUGACGGGG